CGGGCUGUGGUGCAGUGGUAGCACGCUGGCUUCGGGUGCCAGAGGUCGUGGGUUCAAGUCCCACCAGCCCGA
rnacentral:tRNA from 1 species